rnacentral:lncRNA from 1 species
CAUCGCAUUAUAGGGUUUGCACCGAUUCUGUUCUCCUUAGCUUCCUUGGUAGCAAUGUUCGCUUACUCGGCCUUGUCCUCUGACUUACCGGGCUCCCUUAAGCGAAUAUAAGCUCUAGAGCAGUCCAACUCUCUAGCUACUUCGAUCAUACCUCUACAUGAUCAAGUCCCUCCCAUGGGACUCACUGGUACUUGCAUUCGAACUUUUCCCUUGGUGGAACCCAGCCCCCAUAUGCUGAUGACCAAGGUUUUCAUCCGAUACAAGAUUCGAUGCACGCACGAAAGACCCGCCUCUACGGUACCAUGGCCUUCACUCCUUGAAUCCAUAGCCCUUCUUGCCGUCGUGUUGUUCAUGGAAGUGGAGCUUCCAAUAGCUCCCGAUCAUACCUCCGUAUGAUCUAGUCCCUCACGGGACUAGGUCGUGUGUAUCGCAUUGCCACGAAUUGUUCCACCACGAU